rnacentral:rRNA from 1 species
GACGAACGCUGGCGGCGUGCUUAACACAUGCAAGUCGAACGGAAAGGCCCUGCUUUUGUGGGGUGCUCGAGUGGCGAACGGGUGAGUAACACGUGAGUAACCUGCCCUUGACUUUGGGAUAACUUCAGGAAACUGGGGCUAAUACCGGAUAGGAGCUCCUGCUGCAUGGUGGGGGUUGGAAAGUUUCGGCGGUUGGGGAUGGACUCGCGGCUUAUCAGCUUGUUGGUGGGGUAGUGGCUUACCAAGGCUUUGACGUGUAGCCGGCCUGAGAGGGUGACCGGCCACAUUGGGACUGAGAUACGGCCCAGACUGCUACGGGAGGCAGCAGUGGGGAAUAUUGCACAAUGGGCGGAAGCCUGAUGCAGCAACGCCGCGUGCGGGAUGACGGCCUUCGGGUUGUAAACCGCUUUCGCCUGUGACGAAGCGUGAGUGACGGUAAUGGGUAAAGAAGCACCGGCUAACUACGUG